GUCGUCCUUGUAGGAAAGGAAAAGCAGUGGACAAAGAAACAUUGGAUACUAUUUCUAAGCUUGAAGGAUCUAUGCAAAACUCAUCAACUGAAAAUGUGGAAAAAACUUUUGAAUCAAUGUUUG